rnacentral:rRNA from 1 species
UGGGGAAUAUUGGACAAUGGGCGAAAGCCUGAUCCAGCUAUGCCGCGUGUGUGAAGAAGGUCUUCGGAUUGUAAAGCACUUUAAGUUGGGAGGAAGGGCAGUAAGCGAAUACCUUGCUGUUUUGACGUUACCGACAGAAUAAGCACCGGCUAACUCUGUGCCAGCAGCCGCGGUAAUACAGAGGGUGCAAGCGUUAAUCGGAAUUACUGGGCGUAAAGCGCGCGUAGGUGGUUCGUUAAGUUGAAUGUGAAAGCCCCGGGCUCAACCUGGGAACUGCAUCCAAAACUGGCGAGCUAGAGUAGGGCAGAGGGUGGUGGAAUUUCCUGUGUAGCGGUGAAAUGCGUAGAUAUAGGAAGGAACACCAGUGGCGAAGGCGACCACCUGGGCUCAUACUGACACUGAGGUGCGAAAGCGUGGGGAGCAAACAGG